GGGUUGGGGCACCGCCCCUUGUCACACACAGAGCAGGGAUGAACAGGGGGUUGGAGCGGCGCCACUGUCACACACAGAGCAGGGCCGAUCAGGGG